UACGGAGGGUGCGAGCGUUGUCCGGAAUCACUGGGCGUAAAGGGCGCGUAGGUGGCUUCUCAAGCGCGCGGUGAAAGCCCGGGGCUCAACCCCGGGGUCGGCCGUGCGGACUGGGAGCUCGAGCACUGUAGGGGCGGGUGGGAAUUCCGGGUGUAGCGGUGGAAUGCGUAGAGAUCCGGAAGAACACCGGUGGCGAAGGCGGUGCUCUGGGGCCGGAACUGGACGCUGAGGAGCGAA
rnacentral:rRNA from 1 species